AAAAAAAAAAAAACAGUUUCAUCUCAUUUCAUUCAGAAACAAGGAAGAGGGGGGAAUGAGCAAAGUUCCUCAAAAUCCAGCAUCAAUGAACAACCUCAAAGUCUUUUAGAAUCCCUUGGACGGCUCUGAUAGCACAGGAAAACCCAAAGGACUCCUUCCCCUACCAAAAAAGAGCUCAUCCCUAUCUCUCUCUUCUUUAAUAAACAAAUAAAUUAAAGCUCAAGUACAAGAACAAUCUCAAGAAACAUCUUUUGUUCAUGAGAUAUACGUUCUUGCUAUAAUGUAACUUUAAUGGAAACUACUAAUAACACAUUAAUCCUAGCUGCAAAACUUAUGGGCAUGCAAUAUUGAGGGGUAGUUGGUGCUGUUGAUGAUGAUGAUCAUCCAAAUAAGCAAAUUCCUCAUUGCCAAACUCAAAAUCAUAAUCAGGGAGCUCGCUUGGUUCACAACUGUCUAACCCGCGAAUUUCAAGAUCUUCAAUGCCACAAUAAUUAUCAUAAAAUUGCCCAAAAUCAUCAAUGAGGUCAUCAAACUCCAAUCCCAAGUUAAGAUCUCCGUCAACUGGGCAAGAACCCAAUGGCUCGUUAAUAAAACCCAAAUCAGGUAUCUCAAGAUCAACAACAUCUGUAUCAAAACCUUCUUCUUUGAUCAAAUCACUAGAGUCACCAUUAAGAUUUGACACAACGGAAGUGUCCACGUCUAGAACUGAAGACGGAGAAGUAUGCGAUAACACACUCUCAGUGUCAUCUGAGGUAGCAGGAGCAGGAUUGCUAUUGCUGCUGUUGUUGAUCUUUUGCGACUGAGAAGCUGCCACAGAAGAUGAUAUAUUUUGGCUCUUCUCAGAGCGUGUCAUAGUCAUAGCAUCAUACUCCCGUUUCUUUGCCUCAUAGGCCUGGGCAGCCUCCUCGAGAGUAUUGUAAGUACCCAACCAAGUUCUGGCUUUUGUCACUGGAUUUCUAAUUUCUGCAGCCCACUUACCCCACUUCCUCUGCCUAACACCUACAGGUUUCUUCGGAGCCGCUUUUGUUUCAGUAAUUGUUGUUGCUGUAGUUGUUGUAGGGGUUGAGGAUUUACCCAAAACCCUUCUCUUCUUGUUGCGGGUUUUGCCACUGUUGUUACUGUCUUGACAGGAACUCUCAGGUUCAAGGGCUUUGGUCUGAGGAAAAACAAUGAAAGGAAGAUUGAUCUCGCGUACAAAUCGUUUUGAUUUAAACGAUCUCUUUACCUUUCUCGCUGAUUCAUCAUCACUUGAAUCGGAAUCAGUCGCAUAAGGAUCAUGGUAAAUAACGCGAAUUUUUCUCAUUUUGGACUCCAUUCUCGACUCUUCCGGCAAGAUUGACUUGGUAUCAGAGACUCUUUUGCAGGGUUUACUGUGGUUCAAAGGUUGUGUUCUAGGCUUCAGCAUCAGGAAUGGGUUAAAACUAGCCAAAACCCCUCAAUAGUACCCAGAAAUAUUUUAAAUAAAAAAACAAAACGAAAAAUAUGAUAAGAAAUGAAGGGAGGGAGAAGGUCGGAUUAUCACGGUGGUAUCAAGUCAGAGGCCCUCUCAAGAACAGGAAAAGGUAGAAAAAUCGCUUUAUGUGAAAACCCCCAAAACACUCCACACCAGAACAAGUCCUUUUGGGUCUCAAACGCAUUGAAAUAGCCGGAAACCCCAAAUUCAAUCUCUGCUGGAAACAGCAGAGAAGCAUAUAGCAGAAAAGAGCACAAAAGAGAGAACGAAAGCAAUCAGAGAGAGUUGAUGAAGCAGAGGUAAAAAGCCAGAGCUGCGACGGAGCCCCAAUCAAAGCCAAAUCAAACCCAGCCGACAUAACACAGAAGAACCUCCCAAGUUCUAGCUUCCUUCAAGCAGAGAGCGUAAAAGGCAAGCAAAUAGAUGAACUAGCGAUAAAUAUAGU
rnacentral:misc_RNA from 1 species